rnacentral:lncRNA from 1 species
UUUUUUUUUAGUAAAGAUUAUUCUGUGCCUACCUAGAUAAUCUUUAUAAUUUAAACUCAGAUGGCCUUUCUUGUGGAGUUUCCAUCAUGGCACAGCGGAAACAAACCCAACUAGGAACCAUGAGGUUGUGGGUUCAUCCCUGGCCUUGCUCAGUGGGCUAAGGAUCCGGUGUUGCUGUGAGCUGUGGUGUAGGCCGGCAGCUCUAGAUCUGGUUAAACCCCCAGCCUGGGAAAUUCCGUAUGCCUUCCGUAUGCCUUCCGUGGCCCUAAAAAGACAAAAGACCAAAAAAAAUUAAAAGUUAAAAAAUAAAGUCAGAUGAUUAGCGGUUUUAAUUUCAUCUGUAAUCUUUUUUUUUUUUUUUUUUGGCUACGCCCUUGACAUAUGGAAGUUCAUGGGCCAGGUGUCAAACCAGCACCACGGCAGUGCUGUGCCACACGGGAACUCCUCUUUUUUAAAAAAUUACUUAAGCCAGUCUAAUUCACCUUUUGUUUCUUUCUGUUUCAAAAGGACCUAUAUACAAAUGCCAUCUCUGGUGCACUGACGACGACUACCUACCUGAAGAACUACACUGAGGAGAACCCUGAGGGCCUCACCUGGGCUCAGGACUCAUGAGGCAGAUAUGCCAGGAGGGAGAAGAAGAAGGUGCAUCCUUUUGACUAAGAUGAAACCCCUGACUCAAUCUUCUGCCUCGCUCUGGACUGGCCAGCGCUUCAUUUUUUUUCCAAGGCUUGCUUGGUCUUUCAGGUUGGUAUAUAGGCUGGAAUUUGUCAGCUUGUGUCCUCAAGAAAGAUAAAUUUCCACAUUUGCUUAGAGGUUUAGUGGGUGUUCCCGCCCUCAAAGCAACUGUACCUGGUGCCACAGGUAAACUUCUUCCUAAGUACUCGUCCUCAAAAAGCUUAGACGCUAAAGGGAAAACUGCUCCCUGCACGACCUGGCAUGCCACGUGUUCCACUCGCUUCUCUGACCUCGAACAGUGUGUAAUCUGAAACUGGUCAAAAAAAGCAAUGAUGCUAAAAGCACAAUACAUUACAAAGGUAGCAUUUAAAAGUUUACAAAACAGGAGUUCCUCGGCAGGUUAAGGACCCAGUGUUGUCUUUGUAAGGAUGCAGGUUGGAUCCCUGGCCUGGCUCAGUGGGUUAAUGACCUAGUGUUGCUGUGGCUGAGGCACAGGCGGCAGCUACAGCUCCAAUAUGACCACUGGCCCAAAACUUCCCUAUGCCACAGAUGCACCCAUAAAAAGAAAAAAAAAUUACCAAACAAGGAUAAGGUGAGUCCUGGAGACAGAAGCAAUGAAAGGUUACUCAUAGAUUAUUUCUAAAUGGUUUUCAUGGUCCCCCCAACUCGGGCAAGCUGAUCUGGUUAACUGAGAUUCUCCCUGAUGGAACUAUGAUUGAUUCUGACCCCAUCUGAUAUCCUAAAAAAACAGACACUGUGCAGAGUUCCCGUCGUGGCACAGUGGUUAACGAAUCCAACUAGGAACCAUGAGCCAUGACGGGAACUCCCAUCAUGUUUAAAUAUCAUAUUUUAGAUCUAAAAUGUUAGAAAUAAAGAUAGAAGAAAUCACCUAUUUAAAAAUCUUUCCAUAGAUAAAGAAUUUACAAUAGGUAUGAAUUUGCAUAAGAAAAUUUUUGCAAUCCCAAAUGAAAAUAAAACAGAAGAUUAAGAAAACAGAUAAGGGCUCCUAAAUAUUGUGAGUCAGUUUAAAAAACCUGUUUCUAACACUGUUUAUGCAUCAGAGUGAAAGCGUCUCAACAGGAGAAUGGGCUUCUCCUGGCUAUUUGCUUCAUAAGACACACUGGAGCCCAAAGGCUUUCCCACCAGCCUCCCGUGAUGUCAAAAGAGGGUCGUUCCCUCACGUGUGUCUGCAGCUGCCACACGCCACAGGCGCCACGCCGAGUGGGACCCACACGGCUCCAUCCCCCCGGCCGCCUCACUUCUCAGGGGCCCAUGGUCCUUUACUCCUGGCUCAGGAGCCUUUCGCAAGUUCACCCCGCUCCUUAUCUGCAGUCUUUAAAAUCUAAUUUCUAAUUUGUUUUGACCUAGCCUCUACCUUUCCAUGUCUCCUUUCCUUUUCCAUCUGGGGCAGACAGCUUAUCAUUUCUUUCAGACUGUGAUCAGUGAUAACCUCCAGGUUUUCCUCACGACCUCCUAGAAGAUCGGCUCUCGAGUCCUGCUCUGGAGUGAUCUGAGACCCACCAGCAUCACUCUACUGAUUUCAGGCCAACAUUCCAGGCUGCUGAACAAGUCUUAACCUUGUUUCUACUUAUGAUCACAUUAGUGACGGCACCUGUCCCAGAGAUGGAUCACCUGACACAGAUGCACAAUACGGUACGACAGGUUCACAUGCUAGUUUCAGAACCAGAGAGACCUGAGUUCAAACCUCACUUCAACCCCUGACAUACUCCCUGUGGACUCAGGCCAUUUCCACUCUCUAACCCUCAAUGGAGACAUAACAACAACAGCGUUUUCCUCGUGUUGUGGAGUCCACGACAGUUUCCUCCAAGAGGUUUUUCUCGGGGUCUAGUGCAUGAUACUCAUCCAACAAUGUCAACCAUUAUUUUGACACUGAAAUGUACACAUUCUCUGGUCUCAGUAAAGUUGUCCAUCAAAUGAUAUAUAAGAAAGAAUAAAAGCCAGAGCCCUCUUGUGCUUUUUGAGAAGCCCCCUCCAGGUCAGUGCUUUUCAACCUGCAGGUUAGUGUAUAUAGAAAUCAGUUUAGCAGGUAAUAAACUGGGUAUUUUUUAAUUAGAACACAAUGUUUUCAAAAGUGAAUAUAAUGGAAUAGAAUAGAUCAAAGUGCAUGUCAUAUUGUAAGCACUAAAUGGUGUUCUGUCAAACAUGUAUGUCUGUGCAUAUGCAUACUGAGAAACAACAUAAAGUGCACUUCUUACUGUGUGUCACAGCCUAAAAAAGAAGUUUUGAAAGCCACUGUUCUAGGCUGAUCCAAAGCUCCUUAGGUACACUCUUCAGUAACGACAGACCAUUUAGGAGAGACACUGCUGCCCCCUGCUGGAACCCUUGACUCCUCGUGGAAAAGGACACCGGUAGGAGGACAGAGACUCUGCUUCUUGCCCCUGUGACCUCAGCCAUCCUCCUGUACCCCAUCUGGAAGCCCACCUGGGAGGACGCACCCCUCGGGCUACCCUGAUGCCCUCAGCAACGAACGCGUCAAAGGCAGCACUCGAAGUGAGAGCCCGCGUUCUCACCUUGAAAGUAAUCUUGGAGGCUGAGCCACACAUGCUACUGUGGUCCCACCUCGGCCCCAUCACACCUCACAGCUGCGAAGGGCCUCCCCAGCCCCUAAGCAGCCAUGGGUCUCUGCUCCUCUGGGCACCCUUGGAGGAAGGUGAACUGACUGCAUGUUCUCAGAGCUGGGACCACCAGCAGCCCCCACCCUCUACAUGCCCCCUGAUUUCUAAGAUAACUGCCUGGCAGGGCGGACCAGCAGGGUACAGCCUCAGAAAGAUAAGACUGUCCCACCCGACCAAGAGGGAGGCCUCACUAAGAGGUCAACGCUCUGAGAGAAGAGCACUCCUGACACACACCCCUGUCUUAAGAUGUGGAGCCUAGAACCAGACAAACUUGCCAAGAAUCUACUUAGUCCUGCUUCAGGAUGAAGGCUGCUAGAAAUUGAAGGCUCACACCUAGCCGCCCACGCCCAAGGCCUCAAGUAAAACUUGAGCAUAGUCUAACUGGAGGCUGACAUGCGUACAGUAACUUGCCCAGAGUCACUCGGCUCAUUUCAGGCCCAGGUGCCCCUGAAUGUGGGCCCAGAGGUCCCAGCUGCCACUUUAAGGCUGGCUGUACUUCUGAACUUAAAGGCUUACACCAAGAAAGAAAGAACACAUGACUCAGCUGCAAAGUGGCAAAUAAAACCUAGUACAAAAAAGACUUUAAAUCUGAACUUUAAAAUAAAUAAUGGGUGGCAUCACAGUAGGCAUUUUUAGAACAUGAACCAUGUUAUUAAUUUACUUUCAAAACAGCCUCAUUUGUUUUGAGUCUCGAAACAGGCCUUUUUUCCCCCUUGGGUAAAGGCCUUUCCCCAAAGACAGAUAUGCUUCAGCCAUUUCCUCAUCUAUGAAAUGAAGAAGGAAGACAAAUCUAUCAGAGCAUAUAGAGUUUACACUUAGUGCCAGGCGCUAAGUUGCUCUGUACUUUCACGUGUGUUUAACAACACUGGGCUCAGAGAAGUCAGCAUUUUGCUGAAGGUCACACAGCUAGUCAGAGACAGAUUCUAACCCAAGUACACCUGACUCCCUUGCCCUCGCUGGGGGAGCACACGGCUCAGCCCCUUGAAUGUCUCCUCCCUCCCUCUCCCUUGUCCACACAUCUCAAUGGGAGCAAUUACCAACAGGGAAGGAACUCAAGAUCCCAAACUUUGGGGAAAGGCUGACAAACUACCGCAGCAGAGGUGACGAGGGAAACGUGACAGCUGCGUGCCAGGUGGUGACCUGAGACCUUGGACCAAGAGAGGACUAGAGGACAAGCUGGUGAGAUCCAAAUGACAAGCUCGAAUGUGCUGCUGCACACAGUAGGCAGGUCCUAAUCGGGCCCUGCAGUCCAUUCUCAGGCUGCUUCUAGAUUCAUCUCCCAAAGCACACAUCUGAGUGCAGCUCUCUUGCUUCUAACCUUUCCUGGCUCCCCCUCGUCCUCGAGAUCUGCCUCCAGCUCCCCUUCCCAGAGACUUUUCUGGCUUCCCCUCCCUACCUCCCUGACCCUGCCCCAGCUUUGCUCAAGUCACUACUCUUCCCAGAAAGCACCCCGGGCCUUUCCUGCCACAUGCUCCGUCUGUCAGCCCUCAGGCUGCAGCACAGACUCUCAGAAUUCAGCUUCAACGUCGCUUCCUGCAGGGUGUCCUCCCUGACACCCUCGCUCCCUCUCCCCAAGUUUUCCCUGUGCCCUGUAAGCAGCUCCCAUCGCCGUGCUUCCGUCCUGGACCAUAUUCACAUCUGCCCCUCCUCUGUAUGCAACCCAGUCCCGGCUUCCUCGGAGUGAAAGCUGUGCGCGCAGACACGGCACCAGGCAGCACCGACCCCACUGUGAGGUCAGGGGUUCCGAAGGCCUCCUGUCCUCCCUAACUUCUCGGGAACCGUGUUAGUUUGUCUUGAACACUCCCUGGGAACUCCUUUCUUCCCUUUCGAAUAAGGCCAGAGGAAGACUCGGCUGGGCAUCUGUCAUAAGCAACAGGAUCUAGCUUGAAUUUAGCGCACUAUUUUGUUUUCACUGUAUUUUUACUUAUGAAAUUCUAUUUACAGAAAGCAGUACAAGUUCUUCUUCUACCCAGACUAGCAUUCUUCAUAAAAUUAUAUGAAUAAAGGAAGUGAAUCCACUUAGAAAAAACUGGUAAGUAAUUGUUUGGGUGGCACAUGUGACAAAAGCAUGUGCACACGCACACAUGCGCACAGCUAUGAAAGCUGUCCUGAGCAAAACAUCUCUGCGGCUGAGUCCCUGGGUCAUGAGACCCAAGGUGCUGCUGCCGUUACCACAACUACACGUGUGGCUGGGAGAAAACUACUGCUCUGGUCUUCUGUGUACUCACCUGUAAAAAGAAGAGGAAAAAACUGGGCCAUAAAAAUAUAUGACUUCAUCUCCCAGAUACAAAUCUCUCUUCCUACUCAUAUGGCAUGGAAAUAACAUUGCUGAAAAGAAACUCAGAGGUCAUAGCUUUAUAUUAGAGAUCAGAUCCAUAGUGUAUAGAGAUUGAAGUGAUAGGCCCAGGUCACGUCACGAUUUAAGGUCAAAUCCAAGACCGAAAUCGAGGUCUCCCCCCCCCCCGCCCCCACGCUGAUGGGCUAUUUCUCCCUCAUUUCUGAAACUCCCCUCCCCAUGUACUUUUCCCCCAGGUGAACUUCUGACACAAGGGUUAGAUUUUACUUUCAAAGCACAAGCAAGUACACACACACAAUAAAGACAUCUUAAAAUAACGGAAAAGCAAAUAAGCAAAGGAUAAAGGCAAUAUUAGAUUUCCAAGUGUUCACAUGGUUGGAAAAGGAAGUAAAAUACCUGAAAGCUGAGAAAACAUGUUACAGGUGUUUCCACAAUGUUGUAAUUCCCGCCUUGUUCUUCACUGAGAUUAGGUGAUAGAUUAGAUGCAAGGAGCCGGGAGUGGGCAGGCCACUGAGUUUCGGGGGAGUCCCUGACCCAUCUUUGUCUCCUCCCUGUGUAUAAUAAAACCUGCUUUACAAGAGACCAGAUCCAAAUAGCACUUCACUCACUCUCUGUGGAUCAUGAAAAAUGGGAUCCACACAAUUCCGGGGGGAAUACUUCAUCACAUUUUUAAAACAGGAUUUUCAGACACUUUUAAAGACUACUUUAGUAGAGUCUUUGCAUAUGGGAUGUAGUCAUUGCAAUGAUACAGUACAAGGUUUUUCUCAUUUUAAAAAAAGUCUUAUCCUUUUUUUUUGGAAAUGUACUGAACAUUUUUAUAUCUGACUUCGUUAAAGGCAAAAUUACCAGCUUUACAAAUGAACCAAUGCACACAGAAUCAGAAAAUUGUAACCAAGUUUCCCAGUGAAUGUAAAAUGGGUAGAUACAAUACCCUUCACAUAUACACAUGCAUGUGUGUGUUUGUAGGCAUUGUUGUAUAUUUAUGUAUAUACAGGUGUAGGUAUUUAUGUAACUGUACGUACAUGUGUAGCAAUUGGCCAAAGAGAAACUCAUGCGAGAAGAAACUUCAACUCAAAGCUCAAAGUGAGCCAAAGGUAAGAGGUAGCUGUCGGGAAAAAUAAGAAUCUUAAUGCAAUAUUAAAAUACAUUAAAUCCCAUUAAGUACAAAAAUGACCCACUGUACUCUCCACCCACCAGCCAAUACCAGCUGCAGGAACCACACUAACAGAGGCAUAGGAACUGGCAUGUGGUCAGAAGAGAGUUCUAGGUCAGCGGGGAAAGGGAGAGCCGGGGUGGUUCAUAGCAUGAGUCCCAGGGCCGAGCACGCCUUACUCAAAUACAAGAUGUGUGACUAUCCUGGAGCACAGGGGCCC